AACUCACCUGCCGAAUCAACUAGCCCUGAAAAUGGAUGGCGCUUGAGCGAGGGACCUAUACCCAGCCGUUGCUGGCUUGUGCGUUGUCUAGCGCCUGGCCGCAACGAGUAGGAGGGUCGUGGCGGUUGCGUCGAAGGCUUUGGGCGUAGGCCCAGCUGGAGCUUCCGUCAGUGCAGAUCUCGGUGGUAGUAGCAAAUAUUUAAGUUCGAUCCUUGAAGACUGAAGUGGAGAAGGGUUCCACGUGAACAGUAGUUGAAUGUGGGUCAGUCGAUCCUAAGAUACUGGCUUAUGCCUUGUAUCACUGAGAGGGAAAAGUUUCUUUUCUCUCGGAUAUCAAAAGGGAAUAGGGUUAAUAUUCCCUAACGCAGACACAGAGAUUGCGGCUCUUUGAGUCGCUUGCGCGGUAACGCAUUCGAACUUGGUUACGUCGCUCAGAGACCGAGCUAGAGUUCUCUUCUCUAGUUAAGGAACGGACUCCCUGGAAUCGGUUCAGCCGUAGAUAGGGACGUUGUUUCCGUAAAGCAUCGCGGUUUCUGUGAUGUCUCGUGUUCUUUGGACGGCCCUUGAAAAACCAAGGAAGGCUAUCAAUCUGUGCUGCAUCGUACCG
rnacentral:rRNA from 1 species